CCGCUGAUAAUGAAGGAAGGCAAUCCCGAGACUAGGGGCCUCUGAUCCGGACCGCUUCGCCAGACGCAUUUGUCUCCCGCCCGAAAGGACGCCGCAGCCGGUCGGGCAGUUGCAAACGUGACGGCCUGAGGGGCGGACGGAGUCAGGUGACCGGUGGCGCGCCUCGCUGCGCGCCGCCGGUUGUUAGACAGUCCGCCAGUGGCCCGUCGCCCGACCGAGGUUUAACGAGGCCGCGUUGCGGCUCUCACGCCUCCUCCCGUCUUUGGACGGGAUGCCGGGACGCUCCGUCGCAGGCGCACGGCCGCCGGACCGCCGCACUCCCCCGGAGUGGGCGGACGUGACCGGUCGUCUCCGAUUGCGACGGCGUGCCCGCUCGAGGCCGGAGGCUGGCGGCGAGUAGGUCGGUCAUCCACCCGACCCGUCUUGAAACACGGACCAAGGAGUCUAACAUGUGCGCGAGUCAUUGGGUCUUGAACAAGCCCAAAGGCGCAAUGAAAGCAAAGGUCGUCCUCCGAGACGCACCGAGUUGGGAUCCCGCAUGCCCCCUCGGGGGUGGUGGCGGGCGCACCAGCGACCCGCCCUGUUCGGCCCGCCCGUUUGGGCGGAGUUCGAGCGCACACGUUGGGACCCGAAAGAUGGUGAACUAUGCCUGGACAGGACGAGGCCAGAG
rnacentral:rRNA from 1 species